rnacentral:lncRNA from 1 species
ACGCUGCUUGGCUAAAGAUAAGAGAUCUGUGAAGCUAAAUGAAACUGGAAGCUAUCACUGCUGUCCUGAACUAGUGACACUGCACUCCUCCCCAGGGAACCAGCUACAUCGAUUUAAGCUAUACUCUUAGGUGAGUAUGUGGGACAUCUUUGCUAAAUAGAAUGCAGUGAUAUCUUAAGAAUAGAAUAUUGGCCUUGAACGGACAGGACAAAAU